rnacentral:lncRNA from 10 species
CGGAUCCAAGGCUCCUCGUCCGCAUCCUUUUUCCUCCCUCCUUCGGCCCCGGGGCUCACAUCCUCGCUGCCUCACACCUUGGGCGUGUGUGGGAGCAGGAGAGGGAUUCUCUGGGGUCCCCAUUUGGAACCUGGAGACCCACUUCUGCCAACAAGUCCUUCAGCCCCUCUGGGCCUUAGUUUCCCCCCAGUGAAGUGGGGAUAGUGACAGCUCCCCCGGGAGCCAGUGAAAACUUUGUGAAGGGAGUGAUUACUGCGGGCGAAGGCGCUUGGCACAGCCACAACUGAAGCUCAGCCGUCGGAUGUGAUUAUUGUUGCUAUUGUUACCGCUCCGCCUGGACUGGGUGCCCGGUCGGAAAGUCCCGCUCCCCGCUCCUCCUCCCAGGCGCGGAAGCUUCGCGCCGCCCGCCUCGGGGGACACCUCCCGCGCCAUCUCGGGGGCACUGGAGAUAAGGAAAGGAACCUCCUCCCUGGCUGGGAUGGCUGCCCGGGCGCGGGAGGAGGGCCGGGGACCCGGUGAGGGAGGACCGUAGGGCCCGUGGGGGCUUCACGCCUGGCAGGCGGCCGGCCAGGCGGACCUGGUGAAUGACCUGGGGAACAAAGGCUACCUGGUAUUUGGCCUCAUCCUCUUCGUGUGGGAGCUACUGCCCACCACCCUGCUGGUGGGCUUCUUCCGGGUGCACCGGCCCCCACAGGACCUGAGCACCAGCCACAUCCUCAAUGGGCAGGUCUUUGCCUCUCGGUCCUACUUCUUUGACCGGGCUGGGCACUGUGAAGAU